CCAUAGCCAGAAAUAUGGAACCGGAACAGGCGGAGCUUAUUUUCGGCUAUAUUAGCAUAAAUUAGCAUAGGUCAAUCAAAUCACUGUGUUGAACAAUUGUGAUUGGCUAAUCGCUUAACCCGAAUCAAUCUGUACAUUUGGGUUUAAACAUGGCGGACUCGACUGAGCUAGGCCCGAUGAACUUUCGAAGAAGAGAAAGUGUGAUACRUCUUUUUAUGAGGUUGAAAGGUUGAUAUCAAGUCGAAAAGUCAAUGGCAAACAACUCGAAUAUUUGGUAAAGUGGAAAUAUUAUUCCAUAUACGAAGCAUCCUGGGAACCGUCAGAAAAUAUAACAACAGAAUGCAUCAAGUAUUUUGAAAGUCCAUUACCAUCACAGCAAAUCAUAUUAGAUGAAGUGGCAAGACUUAAAAARUAAAAGCAGCCUUCCUGUCACAGUAAACUUCAGGCAUGAUGUCUUUAAGUUUUUGUUCAAGGGAAAGCUUUGCAGGAUGGCAGAUUUUGGACGAAAAUGACUUUCCAUCAGUAUUUUUCCCUGAGAGCUGGGAUAAAUGUAUAGAUUCCCAUGGACAAGGAACAAAAAUAUUCUUCCCCAUAAAAGUUAGAACACUGCUGUCAUUCUCUACUAAGRAAUAUACCAAAACAAGCAAUGGUAGUUUUGAAGUCACUCCUAGAGCAUUUGAAGAAAAAAUUACUUUUGCAAUCAGGAGAAGAGCAACUGGUGCUUAGUUAACAAUUAUUAACACUGUAGAUGGGUAUACAUCACAGGAAAAGAAGUAAAAUAAAUCAUGAAUGUUAUCAAUAUAAA